rnacentral:rRNA from 1 species
AGUGAAUGCUGGCGGUGGGCCUAACACAUGCAAGUCGAACGGCAGCACAGUAAGAGCUUGCUCUUACGGGUGGCGAGUGGCGGACGGGUGAGGAAUACAUCGGAAUCUACUUUUUCGUGGGGGAUAACGUAGGGAAACUUACGCUAAUACCGCAUACGACCUACGGGUGAAAGCAGGGGAUCUUCGGACCUUGCGCGAUUGAAUGAGCCGAUGUCGGAUUAGCUAGUUGGCGGGGUAAAGGCCCACCAAGGCGACGAUCCGUAGCUGGUCUGAGAGGAUGAUCAGCCACACUGGAACUGAGACACGGUCCAGACUCCUACGGGAGGCAGCAGUGGGGAAUAUUGGACAAUGGGCGCAAGCCUGAUCCAGCCAUACCGCGUGGGUGAAGAAGGCCUUCGGGUUGUAAAGCCCUUUUGUUGGGAAAGAAAAGCAGCAGGUUAAUACCCCGCUGUUCUGACGGUACCCAAAGAAUAAGCACCGGCUAACUUCGUG